rnacentral:rRNA from 1 species
UAGGGAAUAUUGGACAAUGGGGGCAACCCUGAUCCAGCCAUGCCGCGUGAGUGAAGAAGGCCCUCGGGUUGUAAAGCUCUUUUGUCCGGAAAGAAAAGCAUUCGGUGAAUACCCGGAUGUUCUGACGGUACCGGAAGAAUAAGCACCGGCUAACUUCGUGCCAGCAGCCGCGGUAAUACGAAGGGUGCAAGCGUUACUCGGAAUUACUGGGCGUAAAGCGUGCGUAGGUGGUUGUUUAAGUCUGAUGUGAAAGCCCUGGGCUCAACCUGGGAAUGGCAUUGGAAACUGGGCAGCUAGAGUGCGGUAGAGGGUAGUGGAAUUCCCGGCGUAGCAGUGAAAUGCGUAGAGAUCGGGAGGAACAUCUGUGGCGAAGGCGACUGCCUGGACCAGCACUGACACUGAGGCACGAAAGCGUGGGGAGCAAACA